rnacentral:rRNA from 1 species
UUUAACUUGAGAGUUUGAUCCUGGCUCAGAGCGAACGCUGGCGGCAUGCUUAACACAUGCAAGUCGAACGAGGUCCCCGGGCUUGCCCGGGAUCACCGAGUGGCGAACGGGUGAGUAACGCGUGGGAACCUGCCUUGCGGCGGGGAAUAACUGUUGGAAACGACAGCUAAUACCGCAUACGCUCUAAGGAGGAAAGGCUUCGGCCACCGCUAGAGGGUCCCGCGUCCGAUUAGCUUGUUGGUGAGGUAAUGGCUCACCAAGGCGACGAUCGGUAGCUGGUCUGAGAGGAUGAUCAGCCACACUGGGACUGAGACACGGCCCAGACUCCUCCGGGAGGCAGCAGUGAGGAAUUUUCCGCAAUGGGCGAAA